GGAGGGCAAGUCUGGUGCCAGCAGCCGCGGUUAUUCCAGCUCCAAUAGCGUAUAUUAAAGUUGUUGCGGUUAAAACGCUCGUAGUUGGAUUUGCGGCCGCGGAGAACGGUCCCCCGAAAGGGUGGUCACUGUCUCUCCUAGCCUAAAUUCGAGUUGUCUCUAAGUGCUCUUUACCGGGUGCUUAGAGUGACUAGAACGUUUACUUUGAAAAAAUUAGAGUGUUUAAAGCAGGC
rnacentral:rRNA from 1 species